rnacentral:SRP_RNA from 1 species
UAAAUGAGCCACUGCGAGAAGAAGUUUCGAACCAGGUCAGGAUGGGAACAUAGCAGCCUUAAGAUUUAUUCUUACUGUGCGGUGGUUUU